GUUCUACCUCUUGACAUGUAGUACGAACAUAAAGCACAGUUGAUUCCUGAGCUGUGAUGACUUUCCACUGACCAUACUACUGCAAUGAUGUUAUUCUGGGCCAAACUUCGGAAUCAAUCCUUCUCUGCUGCCUGAUUCAAUUAUUUAUCAUGCACCCCGUGGAUUUUUACUUGCUAAAGUAGAAAGAAGAUCCCAACAUUUGAUGAGAAAAUAUACAGAAGGGAGGCUGAUCCAGGGUGCACUGUGGCAGGUGGCAGUAUAGAUUUUUGUGAAGCAGCAGUGUGCUGUGAUAUGAGUAGCAGAUGAAGAAGGAAGGAAAUGAAGUCACUCAAUUCUUAUAUGGCAUAAUUACUCUUAUAUUUGGAAUCAACAUGUGGAAUUUCUAGAUUUUCUCUAGUUAAGAAAUUUGAAAAUGGCCUGACUAGAUUAUUUUGGCUUGAGGACUCUCAGGAGAUUCACUUCAGAUUUUGUUCCUUA
rnacentral:lncRNA from 1 species